GAUGAACGCUGGCUACAGGCUUAACACAUGCAAGUCGAGGGGAAACGACGGGGAAGCUUGCUUCCCCGGGCGUCGACCGGCGCACGGGUGAGUAACGCGUAUCCAACCUGCCUCUGACUGAGGGAUAACCCGUCGAAAGUCGGCCUAAUACCUCAUGGUAUCGUCUGCGGGCAUCCAACGACGAUUAAAGAUUUCAUCGGUCAGGGAUGGGGAUGCGUCUGAUUAGCUUGUUGGCGGGGUAACGGCCCACCAAGGCCACGAUCAGUAGGGGUUCUGAGAGGAAGGUCCCCCACAUUGGAACUGAGACACGGUCCAAACUCCUACGGGAGGCAGCAGUGAGGAAUAUUGGUCAAUGGGCGAGAGCCUGAACCAGCCAAGUAGCGUGCAGGAAGACGGCCCUAUGGGUUGUAAACUGCUUUUAUGCGGGGAUAAAGUGAGGGACGUGUUCCUCAUUGCAGGUACCGCAUGAAUAAGGACCGGCUAAUUCCGUG
rnacentral:rRNA from 1 species